GACAGAGGGUGCGAACGUUGUUCGGAAUUACUGGGCGUAAAGCGCGUGUAGGCGGCAGCGCAAGUCGGAUGUGAAAGCCCACGGCUCAACCGUGGAAGUGCAUCCGAAACUGCAUGGCUUGAGUCUCGGAGAGGAAGGUGGAAUGCUUGGUGUAGAGGUGAAAUUCGUAGAUAUCAAGCAGAACACCUGCGGCGAAGGCGGCCUUCUGGACGAUGACUGACGCUGAGACGCGAAAGCGUGGGGAGCAAACAGG
rnacentral:rRNA from 1 species